rnacentral:lncRNA from 1 species
UUGAACAUUUGAAAAGCAGACAAAGCAAAAAUACAGACUAAGGAAAUAUCUGUAUUAUUCCUUGAGUAUUUUGGUAAACUGUUUCUGUAAACGUUUUAUAAAUAAACUCUUUAUCCUUACUGGCAGCCUUGCAAUUGUGACUGACAGUUUUCUUAGGAUACUUGGAAAGUUUCCUUUAGUAUUGGAAAGACCUGAAAGAAAACACCACCUCUUAUUCCUGAAUCAUUUCAAUAAAUGGUCAUUCAGCUUCUGA